rnacentral:rRNA from 1 species
AACGAACGCUGGCGGCGCGCCUAAUACAUGCAAGUCGAGCGAGAAGACGUAGCAAUACGUUUGUAAAGCGGCGAACGGGUGAGGAAUACAUGGGUAACCUACCCUCGAGUGGGGAAUAACUAGCCGAAAGGUUAGCUAACACCGCGUACGCUCCUUGGACUUCGGUUCAGGGAGGAAAGCGAUACCGUGGGUAUCGCGCUCUUGGAUGGGCUCAUGUCCUAUCAGCUUGUUGGUGAGGUAACGGCUCACCAAGGCUUCGACGGGUAGCUGGUCUGAGAGGACGAUCAGCCACACUGGCACUGCGACACGGGCCAGACUCCUACGGGAGGCAGCAGUAAGGAAUAUUGCGCAAUGGGCGAAAGCCUGACGCAGCGACGCCGCGUGGGGGAUGAAGGUCUUCGGAUUGUAAACCCCUUUC